GGGCUGCUGGCGCAAUGGCAACGCGUUUGACUUCGAAUCAAAAGAUUACAGGUUCGAUCCCUGUGUAGCUCA
rnacentral:tRNA from 2 species